rfam:Rattus norvegicus chromosome 18, whole genome shotgun sequence.
GGGGAUUUGGCUCAGUGGUAGAGCCCUUACCUAGGAAGCAGAAGGUCCUGGGUUCAGUCCCCAGCCCCG